rnacentral:rRNA from 1 species
GACGAACGCUGGCGGCGUGCUUAACACAUGCAAGUCGAACGAUGAAACCUAGCUUGCUAGGUCGAUUAGUGGCGAACGGGUGAGUAACACGUGACUAACCUGCCCCUUUCUCUGGGAUAACGCUUCGAAAGGAGUGCUAAUACCGGAUACUCACAUCGAGGCACAUGCCUUGGUGUGGAAAGUUUUUCGGAAAGGGAUGGAGUCGCGGCCUAUCAGCUUGUUGGUGAGGUAACGGCUCACCAAGGCGACGACGGGUAGCCGGCCUGAGAGGGCGACCGGCCACACUGGGACUGAGACACGGCCCAGACUCCUAUGGGAGGCAGCAGUGGGGAAUAUUGCACAAUGGGCGCAAGCCUGAUGCGGCGACGCCGCGUGAGGGAUGAAGGUCUUCGGAUUGUAAACCGCUUUCAGCAGGGAAGAAGCGAAAGUGACGGUACCUGCAGAAGAAGCACCGGCUAACUACGUGCCAGCCGCCGCAGUAA